AUUGAACGCUGGCGGCAGGCCUAACACAUGCAAGUCGAACGGUAACAGGGAUCAGCUUGCUGAUUCGCUGACGAGUGGCGGACGGGUGAGUAAUGUCUGGGAAACUGCCUGAUGGAGGGGGAUAACUACUGGAAACGGUAGCUAAUGCCGCAUAACGUCGCAAGACCAAAGAGGGGGACCUUCGGGCCUCUUGCCAUCGGAUGUGCCCAGAUGGGAUUAGCUAGUAGGUGGGGUAACGGCUCAUCUAGGCGACGAUCCCUAGCUGGUCUGAGAGGAUGACCAGCCACACUGGAACUGAGACACGGUCCAGACUCCUACGGGAGGCAGCAGUGGGGAAUAUUGCACAAUGGGCGCAAGCCUGAUGCAGCCAUGCCGCGUGUAUGAAGAAGGCCUUCGGGUUGUAAAGUACUUUCAGCGGGGAGGAAGGGAGUAAAGUUAAUACCUUUGCUCAUUGACGUUACCCGCAGAAGAAGCACCGGCUAACUCCGUG
rnacentral:rRNA from 1 species